GGCUGCAGCUGCUUUAGGGUGCAGCAUGGAGAGAGCUUCCUAAGGAGCAAGGAUGUGGGGAGGGUCGGGUCAGGCCCGGAAGCUCAGCAGCAGUUCUCCAUCACUCAGCAGUGGCUGUCCGUCCCUCCGCUCUGGUUGUCCAGCCUUCUGGUCCGGCUCCAGGGCUGACCCGCACACAGAUCAUGUGGGCACGCCACGGCUUUUCCCUUCAUGUGGGAGCUGCCAGCUCAGUGUCCCAAGGGCAGCCAGACCCCCCUGCAGCUGUGAGGAUGCAGACCUGCCUGAGCGUGCCCUAUCAGUGCCUCCCACAUCCAGGCCUUGAGGUGUGCCCAUCAGGGCAGUGCACGUGAUGGUAACUUCUUGUGGGUGUUUGCUUGUAGUUGUGGACACAGAGAGUGCUCUUUCAGCCCCUGAGCGAGGGGCAGAUACCGUGCUGACUCCGAGCUGGUACCUCAAGCGUGAGUAGUCAGUCUGUCCUGCCUUCACAAAAAGGAGCGCCCCUUUUCCCUGUUUUAUUCACGAGAAAAAUACCGUCAUAGGUUAACGUGCUUUUGUAAAUCUAACAAUAGGGAUGAACGAUGACAAGGUUCCUGAAGAGUUCCCUGAAGGAUUGCCGGAUGUUCCAGAGGAGCUCCUGGCAGCCUUGCAUGAAGCCCCGUCUGGUUAGUAUAUCCCACUCUAUUAACCCUGGCAGCCGGGAAGCUGAGCUUUUGCUUCCUGUAGGCAUGUGCUGUAUCCUGGACAGCCAGAAGCACUCAGUCAGAGUCUUGCUGCAGGCCCACUGCAUUUCACACCUCCUGCAGGGAGCCCUAGAGAUGGUCCAGCACAGCCUCUGCUGGCAGCUGUGCUUCCAGAUGACUGCCAGGGGCAUCUCCAGCUGCUGCUGCAGUUGUAGCAUUCCUGGCCAGGGCUGCUCUGUGCAGACAUUGGCAUCCAGAUGUUGGGCAAAGGCCAGUGCUGAAUUUGGGUUCGCCACACGCUCAGCACCGCAUGGAGGCAGCAAUGACAUCAGAGCAAGCCUUGGCUGCCCCUUGCAAAGCUCAGGCUCAGGGACGGCUUGAAGCUGGAGUCCAAGGGUGAGGGGGAACCUGAAGGUACUCCUUCUGUGGGUCAUUUGGUUGAUUAAGUCUUGGCUGGUUUGGGUCUGCACUUCUUGUUGCACUGCAGAAAAUCCAGCUGUCGAUUCCUCCUGUCUUGGGGGGGACAGCGGCCUCGUCAGCGCCGCUUGCCGCAAUGCCCAGGCCAUGGUACCCUGCUUGUGCUGAGGGGCAGUGGCUUCUGCUUAAUGUGUGCAAUGUCUUGUUUUUCUGAAGAGACAGAUUCUGAGACUGUGCCGGAGACCUUAGCUGUGGAAGAAAGUGACAUUGUGCCAGGCUCACAUGAAAAAAGAGAACCAAUAGAGGACACCAGGACACUUGCUGAGCCUGAGGAAUAUUCAGGGUCAUCCGCUGGGCAAAAAGCCCAGACUGCUGGACACUGUGACCCGAGCAAGUACUACAUCCUAGUAGGGACAGUAGCAGCCUCAGCUUUGCUUCUGCUUGGGGCAGUGUCUGGCUAUCUAGUCAUGCAUCAGCUGCUGAAGAGAGACAGGUGAGUUAUUAAUUGCUGCCAUUGGCAAGGAAGUCUUUGCAGCAUGCAGGAGCGCCCAGGUGGCUCCUAGCAGGGCUCUGAGGAAACUGUGCUCCAAAUUGCUAUCUGUGAGGAGUCUUCUUGGAAAUCUGUUUCUGCAGGAGGAGCCAGGAGGACAAAGAGGCAACAGGACAGGACUGGGACUCUUCCUGGGAAAGCUGUGGUCAGCCUAGAGGUGAAGCAGAGCCAGGAGAAGGAGCGGGAAGCGGCGAGAGAGCCCAAGGCAACGGGUUCAGGGACAGCUGCCGCCUGUUUCCUGAGCUCUUUGCAGCAGAGCUCGCCCGGCUGUACAAGAACAUGAGCGCAUACCCGUCACCUCUGCCCACCUGCUCCUUCUGUGCUCUGGCUGACAACGCCUCUUCACGGGACCACUGGAUUUCCCUGGAGUCACCUCAGCCCACAGCAUCCUCUUGGCCCUCCUACCACCAAUACCUGCAGGACUACUAUCUCUUAGAGGAUGAUGAUUAGUGAUAGUGAUAGCCAUAGAUAGUGAUAGUGAUAGCCAUAGAUAGUGAUAGUGGUAGUGAUUCUUUUAGUGAUAGUGAUAGGGACACUUGAUAUUAGAGGGUGGUGGUUGUUUUAAUGAUAGUGAUAGUUAAUAUUAGAGGAUAGUGAUGGUUUUAAUGAUAGCGUUCUUUAAUAUUAGGGGAUAGUGAUUGUUUCAAUGAUAGCGUUACUUGAUAUUAGAGGAGGGUGAUUGUAUUAGUGAUAGUGAUAGUCAUAAAUAGUGAUAGUGGUAGUGAUUCUUUUAGUGAUAGUGAUAGGGAUACUUGAUAUUAGAGGGUGGUGGUUGUUUCAAUGAUAGUGAUAGUUAAUAUUAGAGGAUAGUGAUUGUUUUAAUGAUAGCGUUCUUUGAUAUUAGAGGACAGUGAUUGUAUUAGCGAUAGUGAUAGUUAGUAUUGGAGGAUGGUGAUUGUUUUUGUGAUAGUGGUACAUUUAGUGAUAGUGAUACUUGGUAUUAGCAGACAAUGAUUGUUUUCUUGAUCUUGAUAAAUAAAUAUUUUUCCAAAAGCAGUAAA